rnacentral:rRNA from 1 species
UACGUAGGUGGCAAGCGUUGUCCGGAAUUAUUGGGCGUAAAGCGCGCGCAGGCGGUUUCUUAAGUCUGAUGUGAAAGCCCACGGCUCAACCGUGGAGGGUCAUUGGAAACUGGGAGACUUGAGUGCAGAAGAGAAGAGCGGAAUUCCACGUGUAGCGGUGAAAUGCAUAGAGAUGUGGAGGAACACCAGUGGCGAAGGCGGCUCUUUGGUCUGUAACUGACGCUGAGGCGCGAAAGCGUGGGGAGCGAACAGG